rfam:Ixodes scapularis strain Wikel colony gcontig_1108379324116, whole genome shotgun sequence.
UCCUGGUUAGCUCAGUUGGUAAAGCGCUCCACUGGAAACGGGGAGGUCCUUGGUUCGAUUCUAGGACCAGGCG